GUCAGCGCGCCCGGCCGAGGACCAGCGUUAGCCGCCGCGCGAGGGCGCCCGGGAGGCUGGGGCCGGAAAGCGGAACCGAGAGCGCUUUCCGCCGUGCGGCGAUGAACCUCCGGGAAAGACGCUGGGAGGCCAGGAUGCCCGGCGCAACUGGACGCUCAUCGGGAGUCACGGGGUCGGCCCUCAGGGGAACGGGGACUAUCCGUAUCAACUCGGUGUUUGUUCGUUUUCUUCACCUUGCGGUUUGUGCCCUCUCCACAUUUCCUCUCUGUGUCUACCAUUCUCCUGGGGGACGUGGCAAACCGUGAGCCGCUGCGUUUGAGUUUUGGGAAACCCUGCGGAAACGCCCUGGCGCCGGUGGUUUUGCGCGUCCUACCCUGUGUCACCUCAGGGUUAUGAUCUGGCCCCUGGCAAGGCUCCCCAAGUGUGAUGCCUCCCCCCGUCCAGAUGACUGCAUUUUGAGGAUGGAGUCAGUCUGGUGGCAUUUUUUGCUUAAGUAAACAAUUGUAACCGUUUGUGUAGCAUCAGCGUUCAACAGCUGCCUGUGCAAAUCGAAAAAAGCGAAACUUUGGAAACUAGGAAGCAUCAGAUGAAUAAUUCUGAAGACUUGAUGUCAACGGGAGUAUCUUGUUUUUAAACUUUUGGUUUUCUGUUCUGGAGACAAACAGUUCAUAUGCACUAAAGAAAAAAGUGUCAUUAUUUCAGAUGCUCAUUGCCAGCAAAGAGAACUGUAUUGCAAGUCAGGCUUCACUCCCAGUAUUUUCUGAAUGUUUCAAUAAAAUGAAAUAUAUACGUCUGCCUGUGUAUUGGUGUACAUGCACAUAUAAUUGUACAUAAACCAGAGAGGAGCCCAAUUUUUUUUAAUGCUUAGGUAAUAGAAAAUUUGUAAAUAAAAACCCUUGGCUUUUGCUAGUCAUGGACCUUUUGUAUCCCCCCGCCAUACUCCCCCAAUAGUGCCAUAGACACAGUGUCGUGCAGUAAAUGUUUGUGGUAUGACAACC
ensembl:lncRNA novel transcript